rnacentral:sRNA from 1 species
AAUGGGAACGGCCGCGGGCUGGGCGAGACCGU